rnacentral:tRNA from 1 species
AGCUUCCGUAGUUCAAUGCCCGCCCGGCUGACGCCAGUCGGACGGGGAUAGAAUAGAAGUUUCCUAAACUUUAGAUACAGGUUCGAUUCCUGUCGGGACUACCA